AUGCACCGGGAGCCCGAUGUGGGACUCAAUCCCGGGUCUCCAGGAUCAUGCCCUGGGCCAAGGCAGGCGCCAAACCGCUGAUCCCCUAAAUAAAAAAUAUUUUUAAAAAGAAUCAAAGUAAGGUCCUUUUGCAGGGAUUCCAUUACAUAUAAAACAGAUAGAUGGUAUAAAUUAUAAAACUAAGUACAUGUGAUGAAAAGUGCCAUUAUCCAGAUUUAUCCAAUAUGAGUAGCUAUAGUAUUUGAUAUCAAACAGGAUAGGCCAAUUAAAUACACAUUGUCUCGUUUAAGCCUCACAAUAGUUCUUUUAGGCGAGUAGAGUAGAAAUUGUAAACUAUUUUAGAGAAGAAUCUAGUGAGGGACUCGUGGUUUCCAAAGUUGGCUGAUGCUCAAGCUUUUUUUUUUUUUUUUUUUUUUUUUUUUUUAAGAUGUUAUUUAUUCAUUAGAGAAUGAAUGCAUAAGCGGGAACGGUAGAGGCAGAAGAGGCAGAGAAGAAGGAGAAGCAGACUCCCCACUGAGCAGAGGACCCCCCCCUCCCCAACUUGGGGCUCAAUCUCAGGACCCUGAGAUCAUGACCUGAAUGGAAGGCAGAUGCUUAACUGAGCCCCAGGUGCCCCUCACUCUCAAGUUUUCUGAUUUUAGUUUUGUCAUUUAUGGUAUCAUACAGUCCACCUGUAUCACUGUAGUCUUUUAAUUGAAAAAGUGGUUUUAUUUUAACAAAUUAUUAUUUUUUUAAUUUUUAUUUAUUUAUGAUAGUCACACACAGAGAGAGAGGCAGAGACAUAGGCAGAGGGAGAAGUAGGCUCCAUGCACUGGGAGCCCGAUGUGGGAUUCGAUCCCGGGUCUCCAGGAUCGCGCCCUGGGCCAAAGUCAGGUGCUAAACCACUGCACCACCCAGGGAUCCCAAAAGUGGUUUUAUUUUAGUUAAAUUCCUCGAAGUUGAGAGUGGCUGAUCUUUCAUUAAAAGUGGUUGAAGUAAAAAAAAAAAACAAAAAAGUGGUCGAAGUCUAGGGAAUAGACCAUUUUUGAAGUUCUCUUCAGUGUACUGAAGUAAUUUGCCUUUGCUUCACAUAGUUGGUAUAUCGCAUUCCUUUCUCAGAAAAGUUGUUAUCCUUGAGAGUUAAGUAAAACUGCCCCCAAAGCAUAAGCAAUACAAAAAAAAAAAAUAGGUUUUACAUUUUAAUGAAGUUUGAUUUAGGUGCUGUAAAUGAGAUCAUCAAGAAAGUGAGGAGACAACAAAAGGAGAAAAUUGUGGAGGAUCUGCUAAAGAAGAUGUACAGAAAAAAAAAAAAAAAAAGAAGAUGUACAGUUGGCCAGUAAACACAUGGAGAAGAUGCUUGGUAUCAUUAGUCAUCAAGAAAAUGUAGAUCA